UACGUAGGGGGCAAGCGUUGUCCGGAAUCAUUGGGCGUAAAGCGCGUGUAGGCGGCUCGGUAAGUCAGCUGUGAAAGUCCAGGGCUCAACCCUGGAAUGCCGGUUGAUACUGUCGAGCUCGAGUCCGGAAGAGGUGAGUGGAAUUCCUGGUGUAGCGGUGAAAUGCGCAGAUAUCAGGAGGAACACCAAUGGCGAAGGCAGCUCACUGGGACGGUACUGACGCUGAGGCGCGAAAGCGUGGGGAGCAAACAGG
rnacentral:rRNA from 1 species